rnacentral:rRNA from 1 species
UCAGUCGACUCCUACGGGGAGGCAGCAGUGGGGGAAUAUUGCACAAUGGGCGCAAGCCUGAUGCAGCCAUGCCGCGUGUGUGAAGAAGGCCUUCGGGUUGUAAAGCACUUUCAGUCGUGAGGAAGGUAGUGUAGUUAAUAGCUGCAUUAUUUGACGUUAGCGACAGAAGAAGCACCGGCUAACUCCGUGCCAGCAGCCGCGGUAAUACGGAGGGUGCGAGCGUUAAUCGGAAUUACUGGGCGUAAAGCGCAUGCAGGUGGUUUGUUAAGUCAGAUGUGAAAGCCCGGGGCUCAACCUCGGAAUUGCAUUUGAAACUGGCAGACUAGAGUACUGUAGAGGGGGGUAGGAAUUUCAGGUGUAGCGGUGAAAUGCGUAGAGAUCUGAAGGAAUACCGGUGGCGAAGGCGGCCCCCUCGGACAGAUACUGACACUCAGAUGCGAAAGCGUGGGGAGCAAACAGGAUUAGAUACCCUGGUAG